UAGAGUUUGAUCCUGGCUCAGGACGAACGCUGGCGGCGUGCCUAACACAUGCAAGUCGAGCGAUGAAAUUCCUUCGGGAAUGGAUUAGCGGCGGACGGGUGAGUAACACGUGGGCAACCUGCCUCAAAGUGGGGGAUAGCCUCCCGAAAGGGAGAUUAAUACCGCAUAACAUUAUCUCUUUGCAUGAAGAGAUAAUCAAAGGAGUAAUCCGCUUUGAGAUGGGCCCGCGGCGCAUUAGCUAGUUGGUGAGGUAACGGCUCACCAAGGCGACGAUGCGUAGCCGACCUGAGAGGGUGAUCGGCCACAUUGGAACUGAGAUACGGUCCAGACUCCUACGGGAGGCAGCAGUGGGGAAUAUUGCGCAAUGGGGGAAACCCUGACGCAGCAACGCCGCGUGAGUGAUGAAGGUCUUCGGAUUGUAAAACUCUGUCUUUGGGGACGAUAAUGACGGUACCCAAGGAGGAAGCCACGGCUAACUACGUGCCAGCAGCCGCGGUAAUACGUAGGUGGCAAGCGUUGUCCGGAUUUACUGGGCGUAAAGAGUAUGUAGGCGGACAUUUAAGUCAGAUGUGAAAUCCCCGGGCUUAACCUGGGAGCUGCAUUUGAUACUGGGUGUCUAGAGUGUAGGAGAGGAAAGUGGAAUUCCUAGUGUAGCGGUGAAAUGCGUAGAGAUUAGGAAGAACACCAGUGGCGAAGGCGACUUUCUGGACUAUAACUGACGCUGAGAUACGAAAGCGUGNGGAGCAAACAGGAUUAGAUACCCUGGUANNNCACGCC
rnacentral:rRNA from 1 species